GGAGAUGGAGAGAAAACCUGAAGAAGGAGGCGGGGCGCUGGAGGCCCAAUGCGCGUGCGUCAGCUCACUGCCGCGUUUCCGCUCCGCCCCUUUGUGAUUCCCGACGCCAAGUCGGACCGUCCUUGGAACGCAUGCGCCUUCCCUUAUCUGCGGUUUCCUAGACUCAACACCUUCCACAUCCAGUGUUUUUAAUCUCCCAUGAAUGCGCGUGUAAACACCCCUGGGAACGCGCUUGCCAGAGGCUCGCCCCCUCCAAAAUCCCUAAAAAGGGGCGGGGUGGGGCGUGGAAAAGGGCGCCUGGGCGAGGCCGGAAAGAGAAGAAUCCUGCAGGAAGGAAAGAAGCUGAACUAGUUGGGACGUGACUGGGCAUGCGCACGGGUUACCUGUACUGAGCUGCCUUAACAAUGAGUCUGCUGCGGCGGGAGGCAGUGUGCUGCUCCCAGCAUGCACCAGGCCCAGGCUCCCAGGGGUUCCUGGGAGUUGUAGUUUUUUCGGAGCCCCCUCUCCCUUAUCCUGGAAUGACCUAUCGCCCGCUUCGGAGCCCGGCAGCUUCCCUGGAAAUUGGCUAAGUCGUGGCACCGACUCACCUCUAAGGAGGGAAUUGAGGGGCAGCCCAGGGUUGAACAGUUCUCCCUCUAGUAGAAGAGAAGCAUUGGGAGAGAAAGGACCUUAUCUGCUUAUUCAUCGUUGUAUUUCCAGCCCCUCAAAGAAGUAGCUGGCACAUUAAGAGGCAUGCUCAAAUCAGUGCCUGCUGUGUUGCUGGGAGUAAGCGAGGUGCUGGAUAUAACCCUUGCGAAGUCAAGGACAGAGCUCAUUUUGGCUCAAAUCUUGCUUUCAUCAUUGGAGAGUCACUGAGAAAGUAGUGAAGAGCAGUUGCUGUGAGAAGAUUUUGGUUUAAAAAAUAAAGGUCGGGACUAUG